UCAAGAUAACUUCACUUUUCACUUCUAAAAAAAGUUCGAGUAAAUCUGUGUUAGAAGUUUAACAAAGUAAACCAUUCCUUUAAUUUUGAAGUUGUAGAAGACUUUUGAUUUGAUGUCAUCACUCGAAGUGUAUUUCCGAAAUGAAGAAAAGACGCGGCAGGUGACUGACAACUUAGAGACGCCGGAUACCAUCAAAUAUUACAACAAUUAUCUAGAACAAGGUCUUCUUGGAAAACUAAAAAAAUGUUAUGACAAACACCGCUUCCAAUGAGUUUCCAAUAAUUUAUCGGCGUCGCCAUACAUUCGCACAUUGAGUGGCCCUUAAUCCAACAAUGACAACGACACGUGUGCUUUUGCAGAAUGAGCGAAAGGAAAGGGAAUUUUUUUCAAUCGGAAAUGAUUAAUUGGCGACACUUGUAGCUGCUCGCUGUUGUUAUGGCUUAUACGCGUUGUCGUUAUUAAUUACGUACAUACAUUCCACAUGACGAACCACAUACCUUUAAUGAAAAUCUAAUGAGAUUGAGAGCUAAUGUUGUAAUUAAUUGUAAUGCAAUAAUUGAUUUCGUUGAAUUUUAUGGGCAGUCAAAUCGUUUAAUGGCGAAUGAAAUACACGUCAAUUUAUGACACCAAGUCUAUCAAAAUCGAUAAGUUAAUUUUUACAAAAAUGUGUUAAUGCAAGGACCAAAUGGGGAAUUGAGAGACAGAGAAAUAAUUGCAUUAGGUCUUCUCUUCGUUUAAUAAGUAAUGUAAAUUUGUCUCUAUUCUGGCGCAGCUCCAAUCAUAGUAACUUAUAAAAUUAAAUGUUUAUGGUGUCAUACUAGGUCAUCUUGACAAUAUAUGAAAAGGAUCAAAGAAUAAAGUCUUCAGUUAGAUUUAAUCGAUUUUAUCUUCAUCUCGAAUUUGUACUUUCUUGGUGUGCGGAAUAAUUCCGAAUAAACUGAAGCUUUUGGUAGAUAGCUUUACCUCUUGUUUCACAAUCAGUCGGGAUGCUGACACAUCUGCGAUCGAAGUGUUAUUUGAGUAUAUUUGACAGACAACUGGGGCUGACCCUUAAAUAACGAUCUGGUAAUGAACAUUGCUUACAAGUAUUGAGACUAUCGUGUAGAUUACGAUUAGCUUGAUCUAUAUAAAGAAAGGGCUUAGAUUAGGAAAGCUAAGAUUUCUAUAACUAAGCUAAAAAUAUACUAGGCUU